GACCUACGGACCGGAAGUGGCCUGGGUCGGGGUGGGGUCGGGGUGGGGUCAGGUGGGGCCGCUAGGCCGGGAGGGCGGAGGCCCUGAGCCCCAGCCUCCCGCCUCGGGGCCACAUUGGGAACCUUAUCAACAGCAUCGGCAUCUCCUCUGAUGGCCCCAGCCACAAUCUCUUCCACUUCCAGCUGCUUGAGUCACUUCUGAGGCUCAACUGGGAGACCCCUCACACACAGGUGAAGGUGUGGCUGCAGCACCUCAGACCGCCUGGUCUCCUCAGGAAUGAAGGCCAUUGUCGUCCUCCUCCUCCUCCUCUCGUGAUUGGCAGUCCCCACCCACAGCAGCUUCUGGCAGUGUCAGAGGAUGGUCAAACACAUCACGGGAUGGAGUGCCUUCUUCUCCUAUUACAGAUACGGCUGCUACUGUGGGCUUGGGGGCAGAGGGCUCCCUGUGGAUGACACUGACAGCCACCUCUGGGUGUCAUGAAAGCAAGGACUACCUCUGCUUUUUCAGACAGUUGUCUCCUCCGACACCAUCACAGUGCCCGGCUCAUAAUGCUGCCGGGCAAGUGACUGUUGCUGUGAGAAGCUGAAGGAGUCCGGCCGCCAGCCUGUGCUGACUGGCUACAGCCCCACACCGUCAAUGGCACCGUGGUUUGAGGAAAAGCUGCUGAUGACAGGGAUUUGGGCAGUGGCCAAAGAGAUGGAGAGAAGAGGGCAGAGCAUGGGCUGUUUUAAACACAGAGAUGAUGAGCAGGACCUGCUGGCAGACUGGUUGUGAGAAGUGGAAGAAGCGGAGGCAGUGAGGACAGCUGCCCCCGCCCUGAGGAAAAACCCGGGCUAGCCUGCUGGAGGAGAGCCGCUGGGAUCAGUGGCCUCAGCUGACUUCAGACACCGAGAGAGAGCUCAGUGAGCAGUGGCGUGUACCUGACAAGAUGCAUGAGGGAACCUGGUUGAGACCAAAACAACUGCCCAGCUGAGCCCAGGCUGAACUGCCAACGUGCAGAGUUGUGAGCUAAAUAGGUAAAGGCUUUUGUUCUAA